rnacentral:rRNA from 1 species
CCCUUAGAUGUUCUGGGCCGCACGCGCGCUACACUGGUGCGUUCAACAAGUCUUAACCUUGGCCGAUAGGUCUGGGUAAUCUUUGAACGCUGUUCGUGAUUGGGAUAGACCUUUGCAAUUAUGGGUCUUCAACGAGGAAUUCCUAGUAAACGCAAGUCAUCAGCUUGCAUUGAUUACGUCCCUGCCCUUUGUACACACCGCCCGUCGCACCUACCGAUUGAAUGGUCCGGUGAAAUCUCGGGACGGCGGCUUGGUCGCUUGCGUCCGACUGCUGAAACUUGAUUAAACCAUAUCAUUUAGAGGAAGGUGAAGUCGUAACA